GUCGCAAGACUGAAACUCAAAGGAAUUGACGGGGGCCCGCACAAGCGGUGGAGCAUGUGGUUUAAUUCGAAGCAACGCGAAGAACCUUACCAGGUCUUGACAUCCUCUGAAAAUCCUAGAGAUAGGACGUCCCCUUCGGGGGCAGAGUGACAGGUGGUGCAUGGUUGUCGUCAGCUCGUGUCGUGAGAUGUUGGGUUAAGUCCCGCAACGAGCGCAACCCU
rnacentral:rRNA from 1 species